GUACAGGGGAUUAAACUUGGGCCUUGCGCUUGCGAGGUAGGCGGUGUAACCACUGAGCUAAAUCCCUGGCCCAUAGAAACAAUUUUAACAUCAAGAAUGUACUGAAAAGAAGGUGUAGGUGAAGAAAACACUUAGCCUUUAAGUGUGGUUUCCAUUGAGCAGUGGGGGGUGGGAUCCAUGUUGUCAAGAAAUGAGUGGGAGGAAACAGAAAUUUGGUUAUAGAUUAUUUACUGUAAAAACAAUGAAAUAAAGGUGACAAAUAGGUACAGCAGAACCAAAAAUGUUGCAACAGAGGAAGACAAACAAUGCUGGAGGUGUAAUCAAAUACAUAAACACAGAAAACAAAGGCAAUAAGCUAGAGCCAAUAAGUUAUGAGAACGUUCUUUCUAAAAUAUUCUGAUAUGAGUUAAACUAUUCUAUGAUAAUUAUGUUCAAUUAUGCAGGCCACCCAAUGUGUAAGUGACAUUAUCAUUGAACCUAAGAAACAAGGGGCUGAAACUUGCCUUUUAUUGACAAAACUUCUGAAUCCACUCCAUAAAAAUGACUUAAAAGUACGAUGAGGAAUUUAAAGUAACUUGAAACUUGGUGGUUAAGUACACGUGAUGCCAUACUUCGAUCCACAAAUCCUAAAUUGAGCAACUAGUAAAGCACUUCCUAUUCAUUUCCAGUUGCCUUAUUUACCAGCUCUUUAUUUUAUCUUAUCUUUAUAAAAAUAUGUUGUGAGAUUUUUAGCUUUUGCUAUGAUUACUUCCUUAAUGUUGGAGAAUGUUUGCAAACCUCAUUUUGUUUUAUUUUCUCUUCCAUUUCCAGUAAAUUUCCCCUCUGCCCACCCAGUACUUUGCUGCACCGACUUUCUCUUGUAGGAAAAAAACCAAGCCAGUCCACAAUGCAUCUGCAGGCUUAGCUCACCACUGCACAGCGUGUUUAAAGGAAGAAAGGCAACCAGUAGCUACUUCCGCCUUCACUGUGGUCUCUUCUGAGUCUGGCCCCAGGCAGAAGCCCUCCUAAGUGCAUACUCAACCGUAUGGAUUCUACUGACCAGUUGGAUCAUACUGUCCAUCAAGCCUGGGCCUCAGAGCUACUCCCAGCUUCCCCUUCUGGCUUCCCCAUUCCCUGUUAAUUUCACUUCACUUCCUCUUCAUGAGAAACUUCUUUGCUUGGAGUUUUGUAAAUCUGGUCAUGCAUGUUAUGCCUCUCAGUUAUGGUCUGACUCAAGUUUCCUAAGACUCGGAGUUAUUGGCUUUUUGGGCCAGAGCACUCAUUGAUGUUGUGGGGGAUCCUGGGGAUGGCAUUUCUUCCUGGCCUCUCCCUAUUAGACUGCCAAGCCAGAAAUAUGUUCAGACAUUGCCAAAAGUUCCUUGAGGAUGGAGGAGCCUCAUAUCCCCCAGCGUCCACCCAGAGGCUAAAUCCAGUGUUUCUUUGAUGAUGGCUCUCAAAGCCAGUGAUGUAGAAGAUGUUGGAUGCUUCUCUGUAGACCAGGAUUAGCACCUCUUGAGAGCUGAGCUGACCUGCUGGGAAGAACCCCAGACCUGCUGGCCUUCCUGUCAGUGGCCUGUCUCACUUCUCCACAUUCCUCAGAAUCCCAUCAUUCACGUUUGUCCAUGAGUCUAGGUUUCUGUGUCUGUUCUGGUCUGUCUCUACUAAAACACAGUUAUCACUUGACUGGAAAAAGAUAUGAAGCCAUUAUAAUCUUCAGGAACUUGAAAUAAUGUAUUGGAAGAGGCGUGCUGCACUAGGCAGGGCUCCAAGGAACUGGAGAUGAAGACAAGCAUUUGAAGGAUAAAGUUGGGAGCAUGGUGUUUGGCACUGCAGAUCACCUCAAGUGCCUGGUGGCAGGAGCCUGGGAAGGCAGUCAGCAGCACUUUAUUCAGAAGUCCGUGCAUUCACUGAUGGGCUGAGUGAUCUUGGGUAAUACAGUAACUUCUCUGGACAUCUUUAU